UGCGUAGGCGGUUCGCUAAGUUGGAUGUGAAAACUCUGGGCUCAACCCAGAGCCUGCAUCCAAGACUGGCAGACUAGAGUUCUGGAGGGGGUAGCGGAAUUCCUGGUGUAGCGGUGAAAUGCGUAGAUAUCAGGAGGAACACCGGUGGCGAAGGCGGCUACCUGGACAGAGUCUGACGCUGAGGCACGAAAGCUAGGGGAGCAAACAGGAUUAGAUACCCUGGUAGUCCUAGCCCUAAACGAUGGAUACUUGGUGUAACUGGGAUUGAAUCCAGUUGUGCCGAAGCUAACGCAUUAAGUAUCCCGCCUGGGGAGUACGGUCGCAAGGCUGAA
rnacentral:rRNA from 1 species